rnacentral:ncRNA from 2 species
AAGAACCGUUGGGGGUGGGACCAAAAGUCUCUGAGAGAGUCCCCGGAACCUGAUCAGGAUAAUGCCUGCGAAGGGAAACGGAAAAAAACAAAC